UUUAUAUUCAUAAACACAAAGUUCUACUUUAAUUUAUAUCGAAGCGUUUCGAUUUUAGCACAAAUAAACGCGAUACGAAACUUUUUUGACAGAAUUCACACUUGGGUAAUUUCAAAAUGUGUAAAUCCAUCAAACGAAUCGAUAUCGACACAACGUAUCCGAUACCGACAAAGAAAUUCAUGUCGACUGGCAUCUCUACGUUGUUUAUAGCACCUCGUAGAUUCACUGCAGCUUAAACCAAAGCAGAUACAGCAUACAAAACAAAAUAUCGAUAAAGGCGACAUGAUUCACUUAACAACAGUACGAAGGGCUAUCGAAAUUUACAUUAUCUGAGCCUACUUGUAGCAACGCACUGCGCCGGAAGAUGUCACGCAUGGCGAGUUUCCAGUCAGUUCUCGCCUAAUCUUCACCUAACUCUGUUGAUAAGGAAGACACUUCGUUGUCAUGGAAACAAGAACAUAAGGAAGCAAGAGAUGGAGUGGAUCGGUCGCCUUAUCUGGUACAGCCGAAGAAUCAGCGCUGAUUAUACUGGAUGUAAAGCGAGCAAGCCAUUGAAGUAAUACAAGUUGCAGCACUGGCGCUGCGGAGAUAUCUUCAUGGUGACAAGACAGCGGGUCACAGCCUCUUGGAAUUUCGCCAGAUACUAGGACUAGCACGACACAUUUCUCUGACCUUUAACCGUUUAAAAAUUCGAAGUGAAGCAGUUCAAUCCAUUGUAUACCAAAAAAUAACACUGUUC